UACGUAGGGUGCAAGCGUUAAUCGGAAUUACUGGGCGUAAAGCGUGCGCAGGCGGUUUUGUAAGUCUGUCGUGAAAUCCCCGGGCUUAACCUGGGAAUGGCGAUGGAGACUGCAAGGCUAGAGUUUGGCAGAGGGGGGGUAGAAUUCCACGUGUAGCAGUGAAAUGCGUAGAGAUGUGGAGGAACACCGAUGGCGAAGGCAGCCCCCUGGGUCAAGACUGACGCUCAUGCACGAAAGCGUGGGGAGCAAACAGG
rnacentral:rRNA from 1 species